rnacentral:lncRNA from 1 species
GUUAGGGCGAUGCCACUACUACUAGGUUGUUGGUAGAUAGUGUAGGGAGGUACGGGCAUGAGGACCCACACCCUCCUAAGACAGCGUAGUGACCUUUGGGGGCCCGGUACUACGCCUCACAGUCUCAGCGUACCGGUGGUACUUCAGUAUGGUCCCAGUUCUGAGUGGUAGGGUGGCAUCAUACUUAGUUGGAAGGCAGCCCGGCAUCAGCCUAGGUGGGGCGCACCACCGAUGAUGGUGAUCUUGUGGUUAGUGCAAACCUCUGUAGAGUUUCUGGUUGAUCGAUCGAUACAUAUGCCGUCUUUUUGGCUAUGGACCUUUCCUAUGUUUCCGCUUCACUUGACUAGUGAGAGGAGUCCCUUCUACCUUCCCCUGGGUUUGUGUUGGAUCCG